rnacentral:lncRNA from 1 species
AGGUUUUUAUGUUAAUAAACGAGUUUGUUGUAAAUUAUGCUCCAUUGGUCUUUUUGUGUUUUCUACCCACCUUUACCUCCGUGACGGUGAGAUAUCGUGAUGUUCUUACUGGGCUAGUGUAGCUCACUCCUUAUUUAACCAUUUUAGAUCAGGAAGACAUGGUUCCCGAGCCCGUUCCGCAGGAGGACGACGAAAGGGAUGCCUAGAGACUCUGUAGUCAUGCUCAUAG